rnacentral:rRNA from 1 species
AUUGAACGCUGGCGGCAGGCCUAACACAUGCAAGUCGAGCGGAGCGGCGGACGGGUGAGUAAUGCCUAGGACUCUGCCUGGUGGUGGGGGAUAACGUCCGGAAACGGGCGCUAAUCCCGCAUACUAUCCGAUGAGCCUGGGUCGGAUUAGCUAGUUGGUGGGGUAAAGGCCUACCAAGGCGACGAUCCGGAACUGGUCUGAGAGGAUGAUCCGUCACACUGGAACGGAGACACGGGCCAGACCCAUACGGGAGGGAGGAGGGGGGAAUAGUGGACAAGGGGCGAAAGCGUGAGCCAGCCAGGCCGCGUGUGUGAAGAAGGUUUUCGGAUUGUAAAGCACUUUAAGUUGGGAGGCGUUACCAACAGAAUAAGCACCGGCUAACUUCGUGCCAGCAGCCGCGGUAAUU